GACGUAGGGGGCAAGCGUUAUUCGGAAUUAUUGGGCGUAAAGCGCUCGUAGGCGGGACUGGAAGUCCGUGUUGAAAGACCUCGGCUCAACUGAGGGACCGGCUCGGAUACUCUAGUUCUUUGAGGCAAUCAGAGGGUGAUGGAAUUCCCGGUGUAGCGGUGAAAUGCGUAGAUAUCGGGGAGGAACACCGGUGGCGAAGGCGAUCACCUGGGGGUUGUUUCUGACGCUGAGGAGCGAAAAGCUAGGGGAGCAAACGGG
rnacentral:rRNA from 1 species